rnacentral:rRNA from 1 species
GACAGAGGUGCCAAGCGUUUAGGCGGAAUCACUGGGCUUAAAGCGUGUGUAGGCGGAUGCCUAAGUACCUUGUGAAAUCCCACGGCUCAACCGUGGAACUGCUGGGUAUACUGGGUGUCUUGGGUCAUCUAGGGGCUGCCGGAACAAAUGGUGGAGCGGUGAAAUGCGUAGAUAUCAUUUGGGAACGCCAACGGCGAAAGCAGGCAGCUGGGGGAUGCACCGACGCUGAGACACGAAAGCCAGGGGAGCGAACGGG